rnacentral:rRNA from 1 species
AUGGAAGACGGCUAUCUUGCUAAAAUUGUUCAUGCUGAUUGUGCCAACGUGAUUAAAGUUGGUCAGGUAAUUUGUUGGAUUCUGGAAGAAGAAGGUGACAUCGAUAAGUGCAAAGGUUACAAACCGUCGGCUGCACAUGUAUCAAAGGCUACGCGAGAACCUCCCAAGCCUAACAAUGAGGUCCAACUGUCAAGUGUAAAAGGCACCGGUCCUGACGGUGGUAUUCUCAAGGCAGACAUUGAAGAUUACUUGGAUGCGCCUGCAGCUCCUUCAGAAUCAAAGGCUGCACAAGAACCUGCAGAGCCAAAAGUGGAGGAGAAAGUACCUGCCAAGGAUAACAAUGUGUCCCUAGGAGGAGUAAACGGAAACUCCACCUGUAGCAGAACACUCAUCAACCGUGUCCCAAGUGCUGUUCCUGGCAUCAAUAGUUCAUUGCCAUGUGGGCGGGUAGCUUCAGCAAGCUCUUUCUCAAGUUGUGCAGCUUCUGUAGCCAAGGGUGGCAAGAGCGAGUCUUUUGCAGCUUCAGGAUUAGAUUGCACUUAUAUUCCAAAUGCGCAGAUAAGAAAGGUUACUGCAGACCGUCUCUUAGCCUCUAAACAAACCAUCCCACAUUACUACUUGACAGUUGACACACCCGUCGACAAACUUAUCAAGUUGCGAGGGGAACUGAACCCACUGCAGGAAGCAUCUGGUGGAAAGAAGAUAUCUAAAGACCUUGUUAGAAAGGAUGCAGACAAGACAGGACUUCCUACAAUCGGUGAGGAGGUGAAGCAGUUGGCUCAAAGAGCGAGGGAUAACAGCUUAAAACCACAGGACUAUGAGGCAUUUAGUGAUUUUCCAGAUUUUUUCUGUAGUGAUAAGGGAGGCUACCCUGGGUCUAGUAAUGGAAAAUGCAAUUAUAUCUCGAAGAUGAAUUUUUAUCUCAGGGCUGGCUCCAUGAGUGAUGAUAUGAUGCUAGUUUCUGAUGGAGAGGAAUCAAGUAAUUAUUCUCUUCGAUUUGAAGAGUUAAAGGGUUUUAAGAAUUCCUCCAACAACUCAAAGGGCCUAGUGCAGAAGGUAGACAGCGACUAUUAUACUGAGGGAGUUUCUCAGGUGUUUCUACAUCUCUGUGGCACAACAAUUUCUCAUCAGGAAAAUCUGUACACUUCAAAUGUGAAUAUGUUAAUGAAGGCGGCAUGUGAUAAAGUGGGUGUAAAAUCCAAGGAUUUUUAG